rnacentral:lncRNA from 1 species
AGUGAUCCUAUGCUGUGAUACUGUGUCUGUUUGCCGCAACCUAUCUUAAAUUAUCUUUGUUUACAAGUCAGUUUGUUUUCCAGUGCUGCAAACCUCAAAGGAGAGUGAAAAAUCAGGACUUUUUUUUUCCAUUCAUGAUUUUUCCUCCCUGCUAGCAAAGAACUUGAGAGAUGUCCCAUUUCCCAUGUGUCAUCUGUGGCAGGAACAUUCAGCUGGAAAUUUUGCCAGUAUGGAUUCUGAGCCUCUUCAACAUCCGUUGGGAAGUGUGGCAGCCUGGUGAGAGACUUCUUGUUAGGUCUGCCGAGGCUAUUGCGUGUCCAAAAGUUCAAGAGAACACUUGGUUGUUGUGUGGUGUGCAGGAAGGCUGACCCUAUGCAAAGAACUGAUCUUGAUGCGUAGGACUGAGGUUAUCGAGAGAACUUAAAAUAAAUAAAUAAGAAGCCCUCUGUGAAGACA